rnacentral:rRNA from 1 species
UACGUAGGGGGCUAGCGUUGUCCGGAAUCACUGGGCGUAAAGGGCGCGUAGGUGGUGGCUUAAGCGUGCGGUGAAAGCUCGGGGCUCAACUCCGAGUCGGCCGUGCGAACUGGGCUCACUGGAGCAUAGUAGAGGCAGGUGGAAUUCCCAGUGUAGCGGUGAAAUGCGUAGAUAUUGGGAGGAACACCAGUGGCGAAGGCGGCUCACUGGACUGGUACUGACGCUGAGGCGCGAAAGCGUGGGGAGCAAACGGG